UACAGAGGGGGCGAGCGUUGUUCGGAAUUACUGGGGGUAAAGGGCGCGUAGGCGGCCUUCUAAGUCGAACGUGAAAUCCCCGGGCUCAACCCGGGAACUGCGUCCGAUACUGGGAGGCUUGAAUCCGGGAGAGGGAUGUGGAAUUCCAGGUGUAGCGGUGAAAUGCGUAGAUAUCUGAAGGAACAUCAGUGGCGAAAGCGACUUCCUGGACCAAUACUGACGCUCAUGUGCGAAAGCGUGGGGAGCAAACAGG
rnacentral:rRNA from 1 species